AUGUUGAUGUGGCAAAGCCUGGCAUUGCAAAAGACCUAAAACCUUUAUCACGGGGGUUCAAAUCCCCCCUUCAACAUCUUUUUGGUGGGGCGAGGCCCGACUAACUCUUUCCCCUAGAAGUUAUAAAAGUUUAAACCCUUUCCAAAAAAUC
rnacentral:tRNA from 1 species